GUUUAGAUUUGCAUGCCCAUUGAAUAGAUUUCUCCCCAGUUUGCUUAGCAUCAAGAAUCUGGGGGAGAAACUUCCUCUUACUUUGGAUUAGAGGGAGAAAAACUCCUGAGGUUAUAUUUUCUGGUCUGCUUAGAACUGCUUUCUGAUUCCUUUCAUUUGCUUUUUAUUUUCAGAUGCUAGAGAAAAUAGAAAUCACCUGGAAUAAAAAGAUGCUGAGAACUGCUGGCUUAUGCACCACUAGUGAGACAUGACACCCCAAAAGGGAGCGCUAUGCCAAGAUCGAGAUUUCUCUGAAAGUCUGUGACUCUGCAGGUGAUGAUGGCAGGAGUAUGGCAGCUUUACUGCAGUGCUAUCUCUUUUUGACAUUGCACCUGUUAAUUACUCUUAGCUGGCAGCCUAUGUCAAGUUGAACUGCCAUUCUUGGGUGAACAAACCUAUCAUGUGUUGCUUGGGGGAUAUUACCAUUGUAUGCCUCAUCAUUCCUGAGAAUCCAACUCAUCAAUCUACCAAGUCUACCUUUCUGUCUACAUUUUCCACUUGCCAGAGGCAGCGUCUCUAUUCUCUCACUAGGUGAGGUUCCCGAUACCCCUAUAUAUAGCCAAUUACCAAAUCUUCCUUCAUCUUGACUCUCCUGUUGUCAUUCCUUUUCCAUCUCUGCCUCCACCCAGAUAUGGGUCCAUAUCCCCUCAUUCUUUUCCUUGCUGCAUUCAGUCUCCUGCACACCACUAUGUUGCUUUCCUAGUAGGAAACCCAGGGCUUUUCAAUGCCUAGAGACUGACUUUUGAGGCCAUUGUAAUCUGCCCUCACUCCACUUAACUGGUCCUGUCCCUCACUAUUCCACUACUAGCUCAUGCUCCAACUGGGAUUUCUUCUCAGCCCUCAAAAUGUACCACAUGCUUUCUCGCCUCAACCUUUGCUCCUUUCACCUUCCCUUCCAAUGGCUUUGCUAGCUUUGUAAAUCCAAUCAUUUGUCAAGGGCUCAGCUCAGAUCCCAAUCUUGCUAUGGAAUUUCUAACCAAAUCCCAAGGCCCUAAGGAUUACUCCCCCUCCCCAACCCUGGUCACUUAUGUUCCCCGAGGACAGAAACCAAGUCUUGUCCAGGUGUAUCUUUAGCAGCACCCCACAAAAAGAUGAACACGUCGGAGCUCCUCCAAAAAGACCUGCUCACCUAAAGUUCUCUGUCAUUAACAAAAUUGGGUUGAAGUGGGCGGAAGUUUCACUUUCAGAAUCUUGGGAAGGUAACACUCAUGACUGCCUGUGAAUACUUACGUAAGAGGCUUUGUGUCUAGUGGUGGUAAAAGUUGAAGGGUUGGGUAGCAGAUCAGAAGCAAAUUGGUUUUAGUGCUCACAGUUUCUUUUCAAUCUUUUUCCAAGACCGCCUCCGUGAUACUUUGAUCCAUGAAAUAUGCCAUGCAGCUUCCUAGCUGCUUGAUGGUGUCCGAGAUUCUCAUGGUGAUGCAUGGAAGUAUUAUGCAAGAAAAUCCAAUGCGGUGCACCCCGAGCUGCCCAGGGUCACUCGUUGCCAUAACUAUACAAUUAACUACAAGAUUAAUUAUGAAUGUACUCAGUGCAAAACCAGGUAAGACCUGUCCCCUCAGACUUUCCAGUCUGGCCUCUAAGUGGCUCUUGUAGUGACUAUAGGAAUAAAUUGAAGGGUGUCUGAUUUGAAGAGUGAACCUAUUUCUUUCCAUGUUCUCUUUCUCGAUUCCCUAUUCCUUUUUUUCUUUUUUGUUUUGUUACUGGGGAUUGAUUCCAGGGACACUUUACCACUAGGCUACAUCCCCAGCCCUUUUUUAAAAAUUUUGAGACAGCAUCUCACUAAGUUGCUUUGUGUCUUGCUAAGUUGCUGAGGCUGGUCUCAAACUUGCCAUCUUCCUGCCUCAGCCUCCCAAGUCACUGAAAUUACAAGAAGUGCCACCACACCGAGCCCUUAUUCCUGUAUUCCUGUUUCUGUCCCCUAACCUUCUCUAUAUUACUCUUAUCCCUAAUUUGAGCUAGCCCAACCCCUCUGCUGCUUGUGGCCCCAUUCUCUGAGAACCUGCAGGAAAUUUUCUCUUUGUGCUCAAGGCUAACAUCUCAGAGCUAAUGCUGAGGUACAGUGACUGAUUUCUUUGUUGUGUAAUGUCCCUUUUCUCACUAGGGUUGGCCACUACACCAAAUCGUUGAACACAGAACGCUUUAUCUGUGCCAGAUGCAGAGGGCCCCUGGUCAUGCUGCCAUUAACUCGUAAAGAUGGAACCCCCAUUGAGCCCCAUGUGAGACCAUUUGCCAAAUAUGUGCAGGAGAAUUACCGAGUGGUGUUUCAAGGGACAGCUGGGAUCAGCCAUGGGGAUGUGAUGAGAAAGCUCAGCAAGGAUUAUGUUGCCAGUAAACAAAAGAAGAAUCCUUAGAGUAUGUUUAUAUGAGCUGAAUCCUUUACUGAUGAAAAGUUUUAGAAAAAAGUCUCUAUUAUUGUGCAGUUAUGAAUAUUAGAGUUUAAAUACAUGUUUUAAGAUUCUUGUUAUUCAUGAUUUUUGUUCUUAACUAAGGGUUCUAUUGCUAGUCAUUUUGUCCAGGACCAUACCCUGAAACAUUCCGGAUCCACCUUGGGUCUUAUUUUGAAUGCAAGUUUUAAAAUGUAGAAGAAAAUAGAGAAGAAAAAUGAGUUUUUGAGAGUGGCAGGUUGAGAGAAUGAAAAGGAUACUGGGAAGAGAACAAGUUUUAAAAGCAGCAGUUUACACAGGACUGUUGUCAGAUGUAACCUGCUAAACCCACCUAGACAGAAAAGACAAACAUGUUGUUGAAUUCAAUUGCUGAUGACAUUGAGUGAAGCUGUCAAGCUGUAUAAUUAUUCAACAAAUAAAAUGUUUUUGCAUCUCACUCAUUAGCAAA
rnacentral:lncRNA from 1 species